AAGAAAUUCAUGAUAUUUAACUUGAAACUAUUCAUUAUUAUUCUACCAUAAAUGCCCAAGGAUAUUAUUUGUUCAUACAAGGUCUCUAUUCAUGUUAUCAACAGUUUAAUUUUCAAUAUUUCCUAAUAGAUCCAUUGCGGUUAUAAGACCC